ensembl:snoRNA U3 Small nucleolar RNA U3
AAGACUAUACUUUCAGGGAUCAUUUCUUUAGUUCUUGACUUGAGAAAUGUGUUUCUAAAGAGUUUGGUCUUACUGCCCACGAUGAAGCGAUCAGAAGUUUACUUCAGAGCAGGAAACUAGUGGCAAGACUUUGUUUCUUCUCCACUGUUGAUGAUUGUUUGGUGUUUCUGAAUGGAACUCUGAUCGAGGAAACAUAAUCUCAGUGGA